rnacentral:sRNA from 1 species
GCGGAGGAAAAGAAACCAACAGGGAUUGCCCUAGUAACGGCGAGUGAAGCGGCAACAGCUCAAAUUUGAAAUCUGGCUCUUUCAGAGUCCGAGUUGUAAUUUGCAGAGGGCGCUUUGGUGUUGGCAGCGGUCCAAGUUCUUUGGAACAGGACGUCACAGAGGGUGAGAAUCCCGUACGUGGUCGCUAGCCCUCACCGUGUAAAGCCCCUUCGACGAGUCGAGUUGUUUGGGAAUGCAGCUCUAAAUGGGAGGUAAAUUUCUUCUAAAGCUAAAUACUGGCCAGAGACCGAUAGCGCACAAGUAGAGUGAUCGAAAGAUGAAAAGCACUUUGGAAAGAGAGUCAAAUAGCACGUGAAAUUGUUGAAAGGGAAGCGCUUGCAGCCAGACUUGCCUGUAGUUGCUUAUCCGGACUUUUGUCCGGUGCACUCUUCUGCGGGCAGGCCAGCAUCAGUUUGGGCGGUUGGAUAAAGGUCUCUGUCAUGUACCUCCUUUCGGGGAGGCCUUAUAGGGGAGACGACAUGCAACCAGCCUGGACUGAGGUCCGCGCAUCUGCUAGGAUGCUGGCGUAAUGGCUGUAAGCGGCCCGUCUUGAAACACGGACCAAGGAGUCUAACAUCUAUGCGAGUGUUUGGGUGUCAAGCCCAGACGCGUAAUGAAAGUGAACGGAGGUGGGAACCCUUUGGGUGCACCAUCGACCGAUCCUGAUGUCUUCGGAUGGAUUUGAGUAAGAGCAUGGCUGUUGGGACCCGAAAGAUGGUGAACUAUGCUUGAAUAGGGUGAAGCCAGAGGAAACUCUGGUGGAGGCUCGCAGCGGUUCUGACGUGCAAAUCGAUCGUCAAAUUUGGGCAUAGGGGCGAAAGACUAAUCGAACUAUCUAGUAGCUG